CAGCCUCUCAGAGUGCUGAGAUUACAAGUGUGCACCACCAGGCUCAGCAUUGCUUUUUCUUUUCCUUCACCUUCACCCCACCAUUGGACCAUUUCUGUCUUGUCUUGCAGAUUGCCCUGAGCCUAGCACAUGGUAAGUGCUCAGCAACUGUUGAAAGAUUUCCCUGCAGCCUGGGUGGUAAAUUAUUCCUCCAAGCGAGUUUUGUACUUGCUCCUGCCAGGCACUCCAAGGAGCUUGCUGCGGUAUGGUAUAAAGCUCAGACUCGGCCCCUGCUUGGUGUCACAGGCUCACUGAAUUGUCCUGUCUGCCAGAAACCUGAAAGGGCCUUGUUGUUUCCCUGUGAGACUGCAGCGGGCAGAAGCAGAGAGAUGCUGGUCUGGUGUCCUGAAAAGCUCUCAGUGAUUUGGCUUGGUACAGAAACGUCCUGGCCGGAUUUGUGGAAGUUGAUCUGCCUGCUCUGUCUUUAUUUGUUUCGUCUUGAUUUUUCCCCUCCAAUGGGAAAAUGAGGACUUAAAUCUUUGUGUGUGUGCAGUAUUUUUCCUUGAUAAACAAGCUCAAUACAUUCUGGAACCAUUUUACCUUCUAAUGGAACUCUUUCUGAAAGUGAAGACUUGGAAAAUGAUGCAGUGGACUACCUUUGCAGAUAUCUAUUGAGCCAGAUAAGUAAUUCUCCAUUUCCUUUCUUUUUUAAAAAAAAAAUUUUAUUUUAUUGGUGUAUUUUAGGUAUACAAUACAAUGACAUUCAUCAUUGGAAAUUUGCACCAUUACCUAAUCUCUCUUAGUUCUUAUUUUCCCCAUUCCCCUGCCUUCCCUUCAACCCCUCCAUUCCUCCCUAUUUACAAAGAUUUUGUUCCUAUUUUUCCAUUUUCUCAUAUUAAUCCCAUUCCCUUCU
rnacentral:lncRNA from 1 species